rnacentral:tRNA from 1 species
GCCUUUGUGGUAUAGUGGUCAGUACGCUCGACGCGUAACCAAGAGGUCCGUAGUUCGAUUCCCGGCAAAGACG